rnacentral:rRNA from 1 species
UGGGGAAUAUUGCACAAUGGGCGAAAGCCUGAUGCAGCGACGCCGCGUGAGGGAUGACGGCCUUCGGGUUGUAAACCUCUUUCAGCAGGGACGAAGCGCAAGUGACGGUACCUGCAGAAGAAGCACCGGCUAACUC